ACUCGGCUCACAGGGAGCCCAGGGCGCGUUCCCGGACACUGCGCGAACUCGCGACCUCGCGUCGAGCGUCCCCGUUUCCCCAGCAACAAGAGCGCCACGUGGUAAGCUUCGCGAGCAUGCUCAGACAACCUGGUUCCUGCACCUGCUUCGCGAGCUCGCGGUGGGAGAAGGUUGUUGUUUCCUGAGAGGAGGAACAACAACGUAAAGCUCGUCGGUGUUCGCGUCGAAAGUGGCGGACCUCUGUUUCAUUUCGGAAGAACAAAGUGCUGCAAAGGAAGAGCCGGUGCGCAGAUUCCGCAUUAGCAGCGAUGCUUUCACCAUAUUGUCGGAUGAUGAUUUCGUUGCUAUCAAAUGAGGCGGUCCGGGAAGUAUAUGAAGCUUUUCGGGAGGAUGUGCAACGCAGGAAGUACACUUGCGAGAAUCUGAAACAUUGCAUGAUAAGCGGUCAUUGUUUUGUAAUGAAAUAAUGCAUUUCAGCCCGGCAUUCGCAUCGUACGACACUGACCGUGGAACGGAGGGUUCUGUCAUAGCUUCCACGAAUUAGCAGUCUCACAGGCUGUGUCGGUCUGUGAUGCCUGAAGUCAGGUUCUCUUCAUGAACACAAGGUUUCCUGGAUCGUGGCACGGUGCUCCUUAAUGAACAGCCUGCAAUCUGCAUCAAGCAGCUGCCACUAUAUUCGAAGAUGGAGAUUGACCUGUAGGUAAUAACGGCUACCCGCUCCAGCCAUGGCUCGUGGCACCUGACCGUUCGCACUCAACACGUUAAGAACAAAGCUACAACACUGCACACAGCAGGACCCAUGUGUGCAUUGAGCACUACUUUGGGGUACUGAAGACGCGAUUCCGGUGCCUACAGAGGUACCCCACACUGCACUACGCUGCUGACAAGUGUUGCAAGAUAAUCAAUGCCUCUGCCGUCCUCCAUAACAUGGAUCUGUGUACAACACUCUUGAGCCUCUGGAUGAUGCUGGUGAGGGUGAUGAGCCAAGGGAGGAACAGGUGGAAGGCGGUGCCACCGGAGAGACUGAGGAGGAGAGAAUAGAA